GGCAGAUGAUGUCUUCUUCUCACGAUGGUCUGCGGAUGCCGCUGGGCGGUGCCGAGAAUGCCGAUGGCUCAGCUGAUGCCAGGGG
ensembl:snoRNA SNORD35A small nucleolar RNA, C/D box 35A